rnacentral:rRNA from 1 species
GAGUUUGAUCAUGGCUCAGGACGAACGCUGGCGGCGUGCCUAACACAUGCAAGUCGAGCGAGGAAGCCCCUUCGGGGGUGGAAUAGCGGCGGACGGGUGAGUAACACGUGGGUAACCUGCCUCAAAGAGGGGGAUAGCCUCCCGAAAGGGAGAUUAAUACCGCAUAGAAGGUAAAAAUCGCAUGAUAAAUACCUUAAAGGAGCAAUCCGCUUUGAGAUGGGCCCGCGUCGCAUUAGCUAGUUGGAGGGAUAAAAGCCCCCCAAGGCGACGAUGCGUAGCCGACCUGAGAGGGCGAACGGCCACAUUGGAACUGAGAUACGGUCCAGACUCCUACGGGAGGCAGCAGUGGGGAAUAUUGCACAAUGGGGGAAACCCUGAUGCAGCAACGCCGCGUGAGUGAAGAAGGUUUUCGGAUCGUAAAGCUCUGUCAUCCGGGACGAUAAUGACGGUACCGGAAGAGGAAGCCACGGCUAACUACGUGCCAGCAGCCGCGGUAAUAC